rnacentral:rRNA from 1 species
GAUGAACGCUGGCGGCGUGCCUAAUACAUGCAAGUAGAACGCUGAAGGAGGAGCUUGCUCUUCUGGAUGAGUUGCGAACGGGUGAGUAACGCGUAGGUAACCUGCCUGGUAGCGGGGGAUAACUAUUGGAAACGAUAGCUAAUACCGCAUGACAACAGUUAUUGCAUGAUAACUGUUUAAAAGGGGCAGCUGCUCCACUACCAGAUGGACCUGCGUUGUAUUAGCUAGUUGGUGAGGUAACGGCUCACCAAGGCGACGAUACAUAGCCGACCUGAGAGGGUGAUCGGCCACACUGGGACUGAGACACGGCCCAGACUCCUACGGGAGGCAGCAGUAGGGAAUCUUAGGCAAUGGACGGAAGUCUGACCGAGCAACGCCGCGUGAGUGAAGAAGGUUUUCGGAUCGUAAAGCUCUGUUGUAAGAGAAGAACGAGUGUGAGAGUGGAAAGUUCACACUGUGACGGUAUCUUACCAGAAAGGGACGGCUAACUACGUG